rnacentral:lncRNA from 1 species
AAUUGGUCUAUUUAAAAGUAAAACAAUAUUUUAAAAUAAUUUUUGUUUGCAAUGCAAAAAUCAAUAUAAAUCUUGUGACGCGCGGUGUUCAACUUUAGUCAGCGCCAAGCGCUUACAGAGGAAGGACGUAUCGCUCACUGUUGCGCCGCGUAAACUCGCCGGAGGUCGAAAAAUAUAGCGCAACCUGCGCAACUAACACGUUUUGAUACUAGAUAAUGAAAGCAUAUUUAAUUCAGACUAUCAGACUCAAUUGAAUACCAGUACAAAUAAUAUGGAAAAUGAAGAUACAAUACAUGGAAGACGAAUUAUAGAUUUUAAUUUUUUUUAUCAAUCA